rnacentral:rRNA from 1 species
AGGAUAAACGCUGGCGGCGUGCCUAAUGCAUGCAAGUCGAACGGGGUAGUCUUUCGGGACUAUCGAGUGGCGGACGGGUGAGGAACACGUACGAGACCUGCCCUUGGAUGGGGAAUAACCCUCCGAAAGGGGGGCUAAUGCCGCAUACGGUCCCAGGCAGCAAGGCUUGGGAGGAAAGCCCGAGAGGGCGUCCGAGGAGGGGCGUGCGGCCGAUUAGCUAGUUGGUGGGGUAAAGGCCUACCAAGGCGACGAUCGGUAGCUGGUCUGAGAGGAUGGUCAGCCACACUGGGACUGAGAUACGGCCCAGACUCCUACGGGAGGCAGCAGCAGGGAAUCUUGCGCAAUGGGCGAAAGCCUGACGCAGCAACGCCGCGUGGGUGAAGAAGGCUCUCGGGUCGUAAAGCCCUUUUCUCAGGGACGAUAAUGACGGUACCUGAGGAAUAAGUCACGGCUAACUACGUGCCAGCAGCCGC